rnacentral:tRNA from 1 species
AAAAUUUUAGUUUAAAAAAAACAGUUCAUUUACAUUGAAACAUUUUCUUUCCCGGGGAGAUUUUA